UGUGGUCGGCUCCUCUUAAAUGGAUCAGCUUGCCAGUGUUUGGUGGCAUCACAGGUGUGAUAACUAUCUACGCUUGUGGUUUUCCACCAGGUAACCUUCAGUGAUGGAGGUUCGCUGGAGCUCAUAAACGUCUCUCCUCAGCGAGGACAGCUUCUUGAACGUUUGAUCUCAAAUCAGGUAGGGCUACCCGCUGAACUUAA
rnacentral:misc_RNA from 1 species